rnacentral:ncRNA from 1 species
UCCACCGCGAGGUGGAAUCUGAAGGAAGCUUAGGGCAAAGUUCCGGCCCGAGGAACACGAACAUCAUCAGGCAUAUUCAGUUUGGACGAGUUUGCAAAACAAAACGAAAUCCUAAAGCUAUACAGAAACUGGAGUGUAAAUGAUGCGGGCAAGUGGAAUGAAAGUUAUAUGU